GAGCGGCGAACGGGUGAGUAACACGUGAGUAACCUGCCCCUGACUCUGGGAUAAGCCUGGGAAACUGGGUCUAAUACCGGAUACGACACCUCCCUGCAUGGGGUGGGUGUGGAAAGUUUUUUCGGUUGGGGAUGGGCUCGCGGCCUAUCAGCUUGUUGGUGGGGUAGUGGCCUACCAAGGCGACGACGGGUAGCCGGCCUGAGAGGGCGACCGGCCACACUGGGACUGAGACACGGCCCAGACUCCUACGGGAGGCAGCAGUGGGGAAUAUUGCGCAAUGGGCGGAAGCCUGACGCAGCGACGCCGCGUGGGGGAUGACGGCCUUCGGGUUGUAAACCUCUUUCAGCAGGGACGAAGUUGACGUGUACCUGUAGAAGAAGCGCCGGCUAACUACGUGCCAGCAGCCGCGGUAAUACGUAGGGCGCAAGCGUUGUCCGGAAUUAUUGGGCGUAAAGAGCUCGUAGGUGGCUUGUUGCGUCUGCCGUGAAAGCCCGUGGCUUAACUGCGGGUCUGCGGUGGAUACGGGCAGGCUAGAGGCUGGUAGGGGCAAGCGGAAUUCCU
rnacentral:rRNA from 1 species